rnacentral:rRNA from 1 species
GAUGAACGCUAGCGGCAGGCUUAAUACAUGCAAGUCGAGGGGCAGCAGGACUGUAGCAAUACAGUUGCUGGCGACCGGCAAGCGUGUUCGGUACACGUAUGCAACCUACCCAAAACUGGGGGAUAGCCCGGGGAAACCCGGCCUAAUACCUCGUAACCUUUUUAAGUGGCAUCACUUGAUAAUUAUACCUCCGGCGGUUCUGGGUGGGCGUUGGCCUGAUUAGGUGGUUGGUGCGGGUAACGGCCCCCCAAGCCUGCGAUCAGGAACUGAUGUGAGAGCAAGACCAGUUAGACGGGCGACGAGACCCGGGCCCGAAUCGUACGCGGGGGAGGGGUAAGGAAUAUUGGUCAAGGGAGGCAAGUCUGAACCAGCCAUGCCGCGUGAAGGAUGAAGGGCAUCUGGAAUGUAAACUUCUUGUGUGGGGGACGAAAACCGGAUAUUCUUACCGGAUUGACGGUACCUCAGGAAUAAGCACCGGCUAACUCCGUG